CAAAAUGAUCAUCUUCUCCAUAUUGUUCUGCCGAUUUUUGCUCUCCUCCAUAGCUGGGGUUUCUUCAACUUUCAAACUUCAUAAUCAAGAGAAACGAGAUUCAAGUCGUGAUCGGGGGAAAAACAAAGUUUACGAGGAAUAGGCUCGAUUGUUAAAAAUUUUGUACCGAGGUAAGUUCAUGUGUAAAUAAUGUAGCAUAAUUGUUACUUUUAAGUUAUUGAUGUUAAAUAUAGGAUAUGCUGAUUCUUAUCAUGAAAUAUAUGCUUUGUGGUUAUUUUCGAAUAAAAUGCAAAUUAAGUGUAUUAUUUGUUAAAUAUAAAGUGCUACCGAGUAUUGGUUUCGGUAUUUUACGGAAGAUGGCAAGGAGACGUGUUCGAGGAAAAUCCCGUUUGAACCUUAGGAAUAGAUUAGGAUACAAGUGACAUGUCACUAGGAUGGUUGAGCAUCCGAACUCGUUGAGUUGAGUCCGAGUUCACUUAUGGAAGUGGAAUGUCCGAACUCGUUGAGUUGAGUCCGAGUUCGUGAGAUGUAACUAGGCAUCCGAACUCGUUGAGUUGAGUCCGAGUUCACUUAUGGAUGCGAACGCCCGAGCUCGUUGAGUUGAGUCCGAGUUCACUUAUGGGCGGGUUACAUGGUAGCUUGGCUACAAAUAUGGCACUUAUGUGCAAAUUAUCCAUGUAUCCAAGUUAUAUUCCGAUGUGUUCAACGGGUAAAAUUUCUAGUGAAAUGGAAGAACACUUAAGAUGCAAGUGACGUAUUGGUAAGUAUUGUGAAAUGGACACUAUGGACAGGUAUGUACUUAACCCUCGGGUUGAAAAUAGAUACAACAACGAUAAGGUGGUAAGAUGAUGAAUGAUGUUUAAAAUGUGAUAUAUGUUUUGGUGAUACCAUGCUAAGAUUGUUUGGUAAGUUCAUGUGUAAAUAAUGUAGCAUAAUUGUUACUUUUAAGUUAUUGAUGUUAAAUAUAGGAUAUGCUGAUUCUUAUCAUGAAAUAUAUGCUUUGUGGUUAUUUUGAAUAAAAUGCAAAUUAAGUGUAUUAUUUGUUAAAUAUAAAGUGCUACCGAGUAUUGGUUUCGGUAUUUUACGGAAGAUGGCAAGGAGGCGUGUUCGAGGAAAAUCCCGUUUGAACCUUAGGAAUAGAUUAGGAUACAAGUGACAUGUCACUAGGAUGGUUGAGCAUCCGAACUCGUUGAGUUGAGUCCGAGUUCACUUAUGGAAGUGGAAUGUCCGAACUCGUUGAGUUGAGUCCGAGUUCGUGAGAUGUAACUAGGCAUCCGAACUCGUUGAGUUGAGUCCGAGUU